CGGCCGCCCGGGCCGCGGCCCCCUGGCAUGGGCCGGGGGAUGAGUGUCUAGUCCGUGGCCGCUGGGCAGCCGGGGAGCGGGAGGCUGGGCUUCGGGCUCCGCUCCAGCCAGAUAGUCUGUCUUCACAUGGGGCUCCCUGGCUCUUGCUUGCCACACCCGGCAAGGCCAUCCACGGCUGGGAACAUACCCCUUCCUGUGUACAGGCCAACGUGGUCCUUGAACCACUGCUGCAGAGCUGGUUUUGUGGAACCCAUCACAAGAUCAGAGGGUCCGGGGGAUGUUGGGAGAAGCAGUCUAGGAAGCAGGAUCUUUAAGAAUAGCUCCUGUG
rnacentral:lncRNA from 1 species